UACGUAGGUGGCAAGCGUUGUCCGGAUUUAUUGGGCGUAAAGCGCGCGUAGGCGGUCCUUUAAGUCUGAUGUGAAAGCCCACGGCUCAACCGUGGAGGGUCAUUGGAAACUGGGGGACUUGAGUGCAGAAGAGGAAAGUGGAAUUCCACGUGUAGCGGUGAAAUGCGUAGAGAUGUGGAGGAACACCAGUGGCGAAGGCGACUUUCUGGUCUGUAACUGACGCUGAGGCGCGAAAGCGUGGGGAGCAAACAGG
rnacentral:rRNA from 1 species